CAUGAACAUCGACAUUUCGAACGCACAUUGCGGUCCACGGAUACGAUUCCCGGACCACGCCUGGCUGAGGGUCGUUUAUAAAACAAAACCAGACUGCUCGUCUCUGCGCGUAAGCGCUUUGUCGAGCGAAUAUCUGAGCGUUCGUUACGCGCGUUUGUCGUGUCGUAGCGUCGCUCGAAAUCAGUCGAAAGCAUUUCUCGCAGCAGCGAGAGAGAUAGAGUCCGCACGCGCGUACGCUGGUACACGCGUCGAGUCCCGGAGCUUUUCUUGUCUGUGAAAACAGUGUGAGAGAGCGGACCGACGUAGUAUUAUCGCGUGAUGACGCGCGCGUGCACUUCGUAAAGCGAAGCGAAAUGAAAAAAAAGAAAGGACUCGCAUUCUCUCGUACUGU
rnacentral:rRNA from 1 species